GCCAGUGUAGCAUAGUGGUUUGAGUGUUGGACUACAAGUCUGGAGACCAGGGUUCAAUUCUCCAUUGGGC
rnacentral:tRNA from 1 species